rnacentral:rRNA from 1 species
UACGUAGGGACCGAGCGUUGUCCGGAAUCAUUGGGCGUAAAGAGCGUGUAGGCGGCCAGGUAAGUCCGUUCUGAAAGCCCGGGGCUCAACCCCGGGAGGCGGAUGGAUACUGCUUGGCUCGAGUCCGGAAGAGGCGAGUGGAAUUCCCGGUGUAGCGGUGAAAUGCGCAGAUAUCGGGAGGAACACCAAUGGCGAAGGCAGCUCGCUGGGACGGUACUGACGCUGAGACGCGAAAGCGUGGGGAGCAAACAGG